rnacentral:rRNA from 1 species
GCCGGAGGGUGCGAGCGCUAUUCGGAAUCAUUGGGCGUAAAGAGCGUGUAGGCGGCCGGUUAAGUCAGGUGUGAAAGCCCGGGGCUCAACCUCGGAAGUGCACUUGAAACUGGUCGGCUUGAGGUCGGGAGAGGGAAGCGGAAUUCCUGGUGUAGAGGUGAAAUUCGUAGAUAUCAGGAGGAACACCGGUGGCGAAGGCGGCUUCCUGGACCGAAACUGACGCUGAGACGCGAAAGCGUGGGGAGCAAACAGG